rnacentral:rRNA from 1 species
GCAUAUCAAUAAGCGGAGGAAAAGAAACCAACAGGGAUUGCCCCAGUAGCGGCGAGUGAAGCGGCAAGAGCCCANAUUUGAAAUCGUGUUUCGGCACGAGUUGUAGAGUGUAGGCGGGAGUCUCUGUGGAGCGCGGUGUCCAAGUCCCUUGGAACAGGGUGCCUGAGAGGGUGAGAGCCCCGUAGGGUGCUGCGCGAAGCUUUUGAGGCCCUGCUGACGAGUCGAGUUGUUUGGGAAUGCAGCUCCAAGCGGGUGGUAAAUUCCAUCUAAGGCUAAAUAUUGGCGAGAGACCGAUAGCGAACAAGUACUGUGAAGGAAAGAUGAAAAGCACUUUGAAAAGAGAGUGAAACAGCACGUGAAAUUGUUGAAAGGGAAGGGUAUUGGGCUCGACAUGGGGGGUGCGCACCGCUGUCUCUUGUAGGCGGCGCUCUGGGCGCCCUCUGGGCCAGCAUCGGUUCCUGCUGCGGGAGAAGGGGCUCCGGAAAGUGGCUCUUCGGAGUGUUAUAGCCGGGGCCAGAUGCCGCGUGUGGGGACCGAGGACUGCGGCUUCUGUCUCGGAUGCUGGCAUAACGGCGCAAUACCGCCCGUCUU